UACGAAGGGGGCUAGCGUUGCUCGGAAUUACUGGGCGUAAAGCGCACGUAGGCGGCUUCUUAAGUCGGUGGUGAAAUCCUGGAGCUCAACUCCAGAACUGCCUUUGAUACUGAGGAUCUUGAGUUCGGGAGAGGUGAGUGGAACUGCGAGUGUAGAGGUGAAAUGCGUAGAUAUCGGUAGGAACACCAGUGGCGAAGGCGGUUUCCUGGAACUAACUUGACGCUGAGACGCGAAAGCUGGGGGAGCAAACGGG
rnacentral:rRNA from 1 species